AGUGAACGCUGGCGGUAGGCCUAACACAUGCAAGUCGAACGGCAGCACAGUAAGAGCUUGCUCUUACGGGUGGCGAGUGGCGGACGGGUGAGGAAUACAUCGGAAUCUACUUUUUCGUGGGGGAUAACGUAGGGAAACUUACGCUAAUACCGCAUACGACCUACGGGUGAAAGCAGGGGAUCUUCGGACCUUGCGCGAUUGAAUGAGCCGAUGUCGGAUUAGCUAGUUGGCGGGGUAAAGGCCCACCAAGGCGACGAUCCGUAGCUGGUCUGAGAGGAUGAGCGACAACACGGGACGUAGAACAGGGUCAGGCCCCCGGCGGGAGGCAGAAGAGGGAAUUGUGGGGAAAGGGGGGCAAGCCGGAUCCAACAAUACGGCGUGGGGGGAAAAGACUUAGGGGUUGAAAAGCCUUUUUGUGGGAAAAAAAAAGAAGCAGUUUAAGACCCCGUUGUUCUGAAGGAACCAAAAAAAGAAGCCCCGGCUAACUUCGUG
rnacentral:rRNA from 1 species